CGAUGUGGGAAGGCCCAGACAGCCAGGAUGUUGGCUUAGAAGCAGCCAUCAUUUAAAGAAAGCGUAAUAGCUCACUGGUCGAGUCGGCCUGCGCGGAAGAUGUAACGGGGCUAAACCAUGCACCGAAGCUGCGGCAGCGAACGUAUCACCCAAGACAACUUUACGGAGUUGACGAUUGACGGAGCGAAGCGACGUCAAAGCGUUCAUUAAAGUCGAGUUGGCUUAGGGAUACGUUCGUUGGGUAGGGGAGCGUUCUGUAAGCCUGCGAAGGUGGCCUGUGAGGGUUGCUGGAGGUAUCAGAAGUGCGAAUGCUGACAUAAGUAACGAUAAAGCGGGUGAAAAGCCCGCUCGCCGGAAGACCAAGGGUUCCUGUCCAACGUUAAUCGGGGCAGGGUGAGUCGACCCCUAAGGCGAG
rnacentral:rRNA from 1 species